rnacentral:tRNA from 1 species
GCUGAGGUGGUUCACUGGUAGAUUUCUUGCCUUCCAGGCAGGAGACCCAGUUUCAAUUCCUGGCCAGUGUA